rnacentral:rRNA from 1 species
UAUAGAUGGAUCCGCGCUGCAUUAGCUAGUUGGUAAGGUAACGGCUUACCAAGGCAACGAUGCAUAGCCGACCUGAGAGGGUGAUCGGCCACACUGGAACUGAGACACGGUCCAGACUCCUACGGGAGGCAGCAGUAGGGAAUCUUCCGCAAUGGGCGAAAGCCUGACGGAGCAACGCCGCGUGAGUGAUGAAGGUCUUCGGAUCGUAAAACUCUGUUAUUAGGGAAGAACAUAUGUGUAAGUAACUGUGCACAUCUUGACGGUACCUAAUCAGAAAGCCACGGCUAACUACGU